rnacentral:rRNA from 1 species
UGGGGAAUUUUGGACAAUGGGGGCAACCCUGAUCCAGCCAUUUCGCGUGUGUGAUGAAGGCCUUCGGGUUGUAAAGCACUUUUGUCGGGGAAGAAAUAGCGAAGGUGAAUAGCUUUUGUGAAUGACGGUACCUGAAGAAUAAGCACCGGCUAACUACGUGCCAGCAGCCGCGGUAAUACGUAGGGUGCGAGCGUUAAUCGGAAUUACUGGGCGUAAAGCGUGCGCAGGCGGUUCGGAAAGAGAGAUGUGAAAUCCCAGGGCUUAACCUUGGAACUGCAUUUUUAACUACCGGACUAGAGUAUGUCAGAGGGGGGUGGAAUUCCGCGUGUAGCAGUGAAAUGCGUAGAGAUGCGGAGGAACACCGAUGGCGAAGGCAGCCCCCUGGGACGAGACUGACGCU